AUUGAACGCUAGCGGGAUGCUUUACACAUGCAAGUCGAACGAGUGGCGGACGGGUGAGUAAUAUAUCGGAACGUGCCCAGUAGAGGGGGAUAACUACUCGAAAGAGUGGCUCAUACCGCAUACUACAGGAGCGGCGGAUAUCGGAAUAGCUAGUGGGUGGGGUAAAGGCUCACCAAGGCAACGAUCCGUAGCUGGUUUGAGAGGACGACCAGCCCGCCUGGGACUGAUACACGGCCCAGACUCCGACGGGAGGCAUCAGUUGGGAAUUUUGGACAAUGGGGGAAACCCUGAUCCAGCCAUCCCGCGUGUAUGAGAAGGCCUUCGGGUUGUAAAGUACUUUUGGCAGAGAAGCGGUAUCUGCAGAAUAAGCACCGGCUAACUACGUGCCAGCAGCCGCGGUAAUAC
rnacentral:rRNA from 1 species